GUUCUUUUGUUCUAAGAAAUAGUCAAAUUCAGGAUAUAAUAUCCAUCAACCUUUAAAGAAAAAGAAAAAGAAAAGAAAAUAACCAUUCGUCAGUUGUCUCUCAUUUUGUAAGCUACCCUGCGAUCAACUUGGACAUGAUAUCUAACCAAAACGUCAAAAUUUUCAUAAACGAAAAAGGCACCCAAGAGGUUCAAGAUCAGAGGCCAAGUUUAAUUCUUUUUUCCUCCCUGGAGAGAGCACGACAAGCACGUAGUGGGAGAUGACAAAAUCUAGUUUUGGUGGGUGAUGAACACCUAAUGGGCGACGGCAACCAUGGUGGGCGACGGCAAGAUCUUGAAGAUGGUGACAACAACUGUGGGGUCUCCGUUUGGUGGCGACGACGGCAAAAUCUCAGUGCACGGUCAAUGGCGGCAACGAGUUGUUGUGCAGUGGUGAAGGGUUUCAGUGGGGAAAGGAUUUCGAUAAAGAGAAGAUCUGGAUGCAGAGCAAUUCGGUUUUAAUCACCUGUAUUGUUGUGUAUUAUUCUCAUUCACCACUUUCUUACGUAUCUUAUGUUUAUUGGAGGACUUUCUCUAC